CCUACGGGGUGCUGCAGUGGGGAAUAUUGGACAAUGGGCGAAAGCCUGAUCCAGCCAUGCCGCGUGUGUGAAGAAGGCCUUCGGGUUGUAAAGCACUUUCAGUGGGGAAGAAAGCCUUGGGGCUAAUACCCUCGAGGAAGGACAUCACCCACAGAAGAAGCACCGGCUAACUCCGUGCCAGCAGCCGCGGUAAUACGGAGGGUGCGAGCGUUAAUCGGAAUUACUGGGCGUAAAGCGCGCGUAGGCGGUCUGAUAAGCCGGUUGUGAAAGCCCCGGGCUCAACCUGGGAACGGCAUCCGGAACUGUCAGGCUAGAGUGCAGGAGAGGAAGGUAGAAUUCCCGGUGUAGCGGUGAAAUGCGUAGAGAUCGGGAGGAAUACCAGUGGCGAAGGCGGCCUUCUGGACUGACACUGACGCUGAGGUGCGAAAGCGUGGGUAGCUAACAGGAUUAGAUACCCUAGUAGUC
rnacentral:rRNA from 1 species